rnacentral:rRNA from 1 species
AUUGAACGCUGGCGGCAUGCCUUACACAUGCAAGUCGAACGGCAGCACGGGAGCAAUCCUGGUGGCGAGUGGCGAACGGGUGAGUAAUAUAUCGGAACGUGCCCAGUCGUGGGGGAUAACGUAGCGAAAGCUACGCUAAUACCGCAUACGAUCUAUGGAUGAAAGCGGGGGAUCGCAAGACCUCGCGCGAUUGGAGCGGCCGAUAUCAGAUUAGGUAGUUGGUGAGGUAAAGGCUCACCAAGCCGACGAUCUGUAGCUGGUCUGAGAGGACGACCAGCCACACUGGGACUGAGACACGGCCCAGACUCCUACGGGAGGCAGCAGUGGGGAAUUUUGGACAAUGGGCGCAAGCCUGAUCCAGCAAUGCCGCGUGCAGGAUGAAGGCCUUCGGGUUGUAAACUGCUUUGUACGGAACGAAACGGUGAGCUCUAAUACAGUUUGCUAAUGACGGUACCGUAAGGAUAAGCACCGGCUAACUACGUG